UGGGGAAUUUUCCGCAAUGGGCGCAAGCCUGACGGAGCAACGCCGCGUGAGGGAUGAAGGCCUCUGGGCUGUAAACCUCUUUUAUCAAGGAAGAAGAUCUGACGGUACUUGAUGAAUAAGCCACGGCUAAUUCCGUGCCAGCAGCCGCGGUAAUACGGAAGUGGCAAGCGUUAUCCGGAAUUAUUGGGCGUAAAGCGUCCGCAGGCGGUUUUACAAGUCUGUCGUUAAAACGUGGAGCUCAACUCCAUUUCGGCGAUGGAAACUGUAAGACUAGAGUGUGGUAGGGGCAGAGGGAAUUCCCGGUGUAGCGGUGAAAUGCGUAGAUAUCGGGAAGAACACCAGUGGCGAAGGCGCUCUGCUGGGCCAUAACUGACGCUCAUGGACGAAAGCUAGGGGAGCGAAAGGGAUUAGAUACCCCUGUAGUC
rnacentral:rRNA from 1 species